UGCAAGUCGAGCGGUAGAGAGAAGCUUGCUUCUCUUGAGAGCGGCGGACGGGUGAGUAAUGCCUAGGAAUCUGCCUGGUAGUGGGGGAUAACGUUCGGAAACGGACGCUAAUACCGCAUACGUCCUACGGGAGAAAGCAGGGGACCUUCGGGCCUUGCGCUAUCAGAUGAGCCUAGGUCGGAUUAGCUAGUUGGUGAGGUAAUGGCUCACCAAGGCGACGAUCCGUAACUGGUCUGAGAGGAUGAUCAGUCACACUGGAACUGAGACACGGUCCAGACUCCUACGGGAGGCAGCAGUGGGGAAUAUUGGACAAUGGGCGAAAGCCUGAUCCAGCCAUGCCGCGUGUGUGAAGAAGGUCUUCGGAUUGUAAAGCACUUUAAGUUGGGAGGAAGGGUUGUAGAUUAAUACUCUGCAAUUUUGACGUUACCGACAGAAUAAGCACCGGCUAACUCUGUGCCAGCAGCCGCGGUAAUACAGAGGGUGCAAGCGUUAAUCGGAAUUACUGGGCGUAAAGCGCGCGUAGGUGGUUUGUUAAGUUGGAUGUGAAAUCCCCGGGCUCAACCUGGGAACUGCAUUCAAAACUGACUGACUAGAGUAUGGUAGAGGGUGGUGGAAUUUCCUGUGUAGCGGUGAAAUGCGUAGAUAUAGGAAGGAACACCAGUGGCGAAUGCGACCACCUGGACUAAUACUGACACUGAUGUGCGAAAGCGUGGGGAGCAAACACGAUUAGAUACCCUGGUAGUCCACGCCGUAAACGAUGUCAACUAGCCGUUGGAAGUCCUUUGAGCUUUUAGUGUCGCAGCUAACGCAUUAAGAUAGAUCCGCCCUGGCGAAGUACGGCCGUCUAAGGAUUAAAAACUUCAAAU
rnacentral:rRNA from 1 species